AGCUGUACGGUGAGCUCUAAGCGAACUAUUCUUUAGCCUUUUACUAAAGAAUAUUGAGUGCUCGUAGCCCAAAGUGGCAAACCAUUAUUUUUGGAGGCGUAAUUCCUUUUCUGGAGUGG
rfam:Gossypium arboreum cultivar AKA8401 contig_10180_1, whole genome shotgun sequence.